AUGGCCACAUCACAUUCAAACAUUACUUCCCAUAUGAUCACUAAAGUUAAGCAACGUUGAGCCUGGUCAGUACCUAGACAGGUGACUGCUUGAGAAUACCAGGUGUGGUAAG